ACGGCCAUUCCAAGGCUUUUAAUAUUCAAAACUCACUCUUCAGCUUCUUUUGGGCCUAUUAAAAGCUAGAGAAUUAUUUAAAAAGAGUAAUGAUAAAAAAGAAAAACUUUUGAUUUGAGUGAGAAAUAUUGAAUACCAUUGAAAAGAGAAGAAAUGAGAGAAAUGGUGCAUAGAUUUAAGAGCUUUUAAAGAGUAAUCUUCUUCAAC
rnacentral:lncRNA from 1 species